AUGUGCGUGGACUACAAACACCUGAAUGCUAUGACUAUCGUCAGCAAAUACCUGGUGCCAAUCAUCGAUGAACUUUUAAAUGAAUUGGUGGGUGGUCGUUGGUUUUCCAAGCUGGAUUUGCGUUCAGGGUACCAUCAGAUCCGUAUGGCUGAAGGCGAAGAAUAUAAGACAACAUUCACCACACAUUCAGGCCAUUGGGAAUUCCUAGUUAUGUCCUUUGGACUAGCAGGCGGACCGACCAUUUUUAAUGGAGCCAUGACAACCACAUUGCAUCCAUUGCUGCGUGUUUGUGUGCUGGUCUUUUUCGAUGACAUUUUGGUCUUCAGCCAGACACUGUCGAAUCAUGUAUCUCACCUCAAGCAAGUGUUACAGCUCCUACACGAAGAUGGCUGGCAAGUGAAACAGUCCAAAAGCUCUUUUGGUCAACAACAAAUGCUUAUUUAG
rnacentral:rRNA from 1 species